rnacentral:rRNA from 1 species
CUAAUAUCACGUUGAAACACCGGUUCCCGUACGAUUACUGAAGUUAAGCAACGUCGAGUCUGGUCAGUACCUAGAUGGGUGACCGCUUGGAAAUACCAGGUGCUGUAAG